AGGUAGGGAUACCCGCUGAACUUAAGCAUAUCAAUAAGCGGAGGAAAAGAAACCAACAGGGAUUGCCUUAGUAACGGCGAGUGAAGAGGCAAAAGCUCAGAUUUGAAAUCUGAUGUCAAUCUGACAUCUGAGUUGUAAUCUGUAGAGGAGUAUUCGAGUAUGACUUUGGCAUAAGUUUCUUAGAAUAGAGCAUCAUAGAAGGUGAGAAUCCUGUCUAUAGUCAAAGUUUUAAUACUUAUAUGAAUCUCCUUCAAUGAGUCGAGUUGUUUGGGAAUGCAGCUCUAAAUUGGUGGUAAAUUCCAUCUAAAGCUAAAUAUUGGCAAGAGACCGAUAGUGCACAAGUAGAGUGAUCGAAAGAUGAAAAGAACUCUGAACAGAGAGUUAAAUAGUACGUGAAAUUGUUGAAAGGGAAGCACUUGCAACUAGAUAUAUUUAUUACUAAUCAAUUACUAUUUACUAGUAGUGCACUUAGUUUUAAAUAGGUCAAUAUGAGUUAUGAUAAGCAGGAAAAAGAUUGAUGGAAUGUAGCUCUCUUCGGGGAGUGUUAUAGCCAUUGAUUAAAUACUGUUAGUUAUAACUGAGGGCUGCACUGAAUAAGUAAGGAUAUUGGCAUAAUGGUUGUAAGUGACCCGUCUUGAAACACGGACCAAGGAGUCUAGCAUCUAUGCAAGUAUUUGGAUUUCUUAAUCCUUAUGCGAAAUGAAAGUAAAUGGAGGUGGGAACCAUUUGGUGCACCAUCGACCAAUCCUGAUGUUUUCGGAUGGAUUUGAGUAGGAGCAUAGCUGUUGGGACCCGAAAGAUGGUGAACUAUGCCUGGAUAGGGUGAAGCCAGAGGAAACUCUGGUGGAGGCUCGCAGCGGUUCUG
rnacentral:rRNA from 1 species